UCCAGGCCCAGGAGAUUCUGUGGUUUCUGGGAGAGAGAGUCCUUUUCCACCUGCCUCCGCUAACACAGACUACUGGAACAGGGAGUUGGUGUUUUUCCACAGUCAACUGAGGACAGAACUCAGCCAAGCAAUUGAGUCUAUGACUCAGUCAGACAGAGGCACGGCUGACAAUAUAGGACUGCUUCACUGUCACCCAGUCACAGAUGGCCAGACUGAAGGAAAGGAGCAGCUAUGUUAUGAGGGCCCAAAGGAAGAGCACACAACUGACUGAUCUAGGGGCUUGGCUACACACGAGGCUUUAUCUUCACCUCACCAACAAAGCCAGGAGAUGCUGCAUCAGAUGCUACCCAGGCACAUCCAGCCUCUUCUCUGGCUUUGAGUCUUAGGAAAGUCAGAAAAGAAGAAAAUCUGUGAGAGGUAGGAAGCAAGAAUAUAACUUCAUAAAUACUGCUUGAAUUUUUAUGAAAAUUUUCAAUAUGUUUCUUAUAUAACUAAAUGUAUGUGAAUAGAAUAAAGGAAGGUCAUAGGCAUCUCA
rnacentral:lncRNA from 12 species